rnacentral:misc_RNA from 1 species
GAUGAAGAACGCAGCGAAAUGCGAUAGGUAAUGUGAAUUGCAGAAUUCAGUGAAUCAUCGAAUCUUUGAACGCACAUUGCGCCCUUUGGUAUUCCUUAGGGCAUGCCUGUUCGAGCGUCACUACACACCUUAUCACAAUAUUUGUGGUCUUGGCAGGAGUGAAUUGCUGGUCUACGGAAGUAUUCCAGCAGUACACAAUGCUAAAAAAUAUGGGAAGGUUACCAGAUAUGAACAACAGACUUUGUAAAUGGUUGUAGGACCUAGAUCAGUCACAAGUCAUGUCUGGUCCCUUACCUUAAGGACCCCCAUCCUAGAUGAACUAUGGGUUGACCUCGGAUCAGGUAGGAAUACCCGCUGAACUUAAGCAUAUCAAUAAGCGGAGGA